rnacentral:rRNA from 1 species
CCUUUUGUAUAAUGGGUCAGCGACUUAUAUUCUGUAGCAAGGUUAACCGUAUAGGGGAGCCGAAGGGAAACCGAGUCUUAACCGGGCGUUAAGUUGCAGGGUAUAGACCCGAAACCCGGUGAUCUAGCCAUGGGCAGGUUGAAGGUUGGGUAACACUAACUGGAGGACCGAACCGACUAAUGUUGAAAAAUUAGCGGAUGACCUGUGGCUGGGGGUGAAAGGCCAAUCAAACCGGGAGAUAGCUGGUUCUCCCCGAAAGCUAUUUAGGUAGCGCCUCGUGAAUUCAUCUCCGGGGGUAGAGCACUGUUUCGGCUAGGGGGCCAUCCCGGCUUACCAACCCGAUGCAAACUGCGAAUACCGGAGAAUGUUAUCACGGGAGACACACGGCGGGUGCUAACGUCCGUCGUGAAGAGGGAAACAACCCAGACCGCCAGCUAAGGUCCCAAAGUCAUGGUUAAGUGGGAAACGAUGUGGGAAGGCCCAGACAGCCAGGAUGUUGGCUUAGAAGCAGCCAUCAUUUAAAGAAAGCGUAAUAGCUCACUGGUCGAGUCGGCCUGCGCGGAAGAUGUAACGGGGCUAAACCAU